AUUGAACGCUGGCGGCAGGCCUAACACAUGCAAGUCGAGCGAGAAAGCCUUCGGGUGAGUAUAGCGGCGGACGGGUGAGUAACGCGUGGGAAUCUACCUGGUAGUGGGGGACAACAUCUCGAAAGGGGUGCUAAUACCGCAUACGACCUAAGGGUGAAAGUGGGGGAUUUUCGGACCUCACGCUAUCAGAGGAGCCCGCGUAAGAUUAGCUAGUUGGUGGGGUAAAGGCCUACCAAGGCGACGAUCUUUAACUGGUCUGAGAGGAUGAUCAGUCUCACUGGAACUGAGACACGGUCCAG
rnacentral:rRNA from 1 species